AAGUGUGUUUGCUAUCUAGAUGACAGUUACCCAGAUCAUGGAUCUUCAAAAGGACCCAAAAUUUGGACCAGAUGCCAUCUCCUCAAGGGUACAGGAGGAACCGAAGCAUCAAACUGUGACGGUAUUGGCCAACAUAUGUAGCUCAUCACUGCGAACAAGUGCUCAGCCUGUGUAUGGAGUGGUGUACUGUCACCAUGAUCCAUAACUAUUGGAAGAGUUCCAGAAACAACACAAGGGAUUACGCAUUAAUAUAGAGCAGGUGGCAGAUUUCACAGGCUCAAGCAAAUGUGAAAUAUUUGACAUCUUCGCCUUAGUAUUUUCACACAUAGAAAAGACACCUUCCAAGGAAAAGGCGCUAUUGAAGAAUUAUGCUACUAUUCCUUGCUGAGAUGGAUGAGGGAAGGAAAAACAUAAUCUUAUUAACUUUUAAAAUUAUACUUCAUUUAUGAGAUUUUGUAGGAGAGCAGUUGUCAUCUAUGGAAAAUUACCGACAAUAUUAACAAUGCCAGCUUUGGCAAUGAAACCACUCAGUGACGACCUGGGAAACAGAGAAAUCAUACCUAUGAGAUUUGUGGAAUCUAAUAUAGUUUCACUGCAGGGGAUUUCAACGUGUAAAUCCUAAAUGCAACAAAAAGAGCCCUAACGGUUAACGUUUACGUACUUUUUUUUAAUUUUAAAAAUUCCAGGUUCCCAUCAAAAUCUAUCAAUUCCUGGGCAGCACCGUAGUGUGCACAUGGGGACAAAUAAAGUAAAGCUAAAAGAGCAAAAUAUACAUGAAA